rnacentral:lncRNA from 1 species
UUGACCACUAAACUACACUUUUGGAUUGUGUUAUGGGUGUUCAAAACUUAAUAUAUAGAGGUAAAAAAUAGAUUUUACCGCAUAUAUACAGUAUAAUUUUUCGACAAAGGUGUUCGGAUGAACACCCUUGCACCUCCUAAAUCCGCCCCUGCCGACAUACACCAAAUAAUGUUUGUAGAGAAUCCGAGUAACAUAGGUCCACCCUUAUUGGUGGAAUAUUUGCCACUAAAUUGAGAUACGUAGCCAAAUAUAACUCCAAGGUUUCAAUUAUUUGAAAGAAAGGUGACAAAAGAAGCUAGUGAAACUACUACAUCUUCACAUGGGCAUGAGGAUCUUGAACUGCCAGGGUAAUAUGCACAAUCAAAUUUCUUACAACUUGAUCUCAUGAUCUGUUCAAAGUUCAAACCCUCCCCCAUGCACUUCUUC